ensembl:lncRNA
AUGUGGGAGUAUGGUGUGUGUGUGUGUGAAACAAAUACACCGGCUCACGUGUGGCCUCUGGCUGGAAAGUCUAGUAAUACAUAUGUAAAGCAGAUCGUCUGUGGUGUUGAAAACCCAGUUCAAUCCACUCAGCAGCGGGCCAGAGGUCAACCCUCGCCAAUGCUCAGGAAGCUGCUGCUCCUACCGGGCACUGCACUCAAUGACCGGAGAGGGAGUAAAAUAAUAAUUUAUACAACAUUUGGCCCACUGGUGAAAGCGUGCAUAUAGGCAUGUCAGGAGGGUCUGUCUGGACCGCUGUUUCUGAAAUAUAGUAGCCACUUCACUUUUUCCCCCCAUAUACCUUCUACUGUCAGUUAAAUGCACCUUAUGCCAGAUGUAUGGCCUGUAAAAUGAAAAGUGAGCCAACUCAUGAGUGUUUUUGACCCUUUUUGUAAUCCUUUGGCAUGCAGGAACAUUUCUGUUAUGCAUGUAUGAUACUAAGCCAACUCUGUCUCCAUAUUUAUGGAGCAAACCAAUAGGAGGGCUAAAUAACGAGACAGACUUUCCAGACAGCCAUAGUCUGGGUGACAAACAGAGCAGGCCAAAGCUGGGACAUGUAACAUAUAGACCAUGUUGUUGUUUUUUUAGAAAAGGACAGGCAUAUAGUGUUUUAGACAACCUAAAUAACAGAAUCUGCAAGUGGUGAUGUGACAAGUAAUGACCUUCUAUUUGAAAUGUAGUGCAAAUGGCACAGAGAUAAACUGACUCCUACUGCGCAAUUGAUUUUAAUUACUGUAGGAAAUGACUGUGCCAUAAUGUUAUCAGACUUAAAAAGACCUUCACUGCGAAAACAACAUUAUCUCAAACUUCCAAACAAUAAUCUGCAGGUUUUAACUGUUGGUAUCUUUAUAAACAGCAAUAUCCCUAUCAAACAGAAUGUUUCUGAGAUAAGCUUGAAUAUGUUAGCCAGAAGCACACUGUAACAAUGUUUAUCAGGAAACCUAAAAAAAAAAAAAAAUGGAGAGAAGUUAAAUAGACUUAUCAAAGUCAAUAUAUUAUGUGAUAUGACAGGAAUAUUUUUAUUCAAGCUUUGGAUAAAAGGACCUGCUAAAUGAAUAAAUGUAAUUGUAGUAUCA